rnacentral:rRNA from 1 species
CUUGCUGGGUGUAACUAUAAGUGGAUAUGGAAAGCCAAAAUUCCUCUCAAGAUUAAAAUCUUUUUAUGGCAGCUAUCCCAAGAUGCGGUACUCACAAGACAAGUGAUGAGGGAAAGGAAGUGGCCCGGGAAUCCUUGCUGUUCAUUCUGCAGGGAGGUAGAAACCUCUAAACACCUUUUCUUCACUUGCCCCGUUACUAGGGUGGUUUGGAGAUCUAUUGGGGCUGUGCUGGGCACUGAUAAGUGCCCCCAAUAA